UGUAACUCAGUGAAGAAAGAAAAAGCAGAAGUAGGGGUUAAUAGUCAUGUGGGUUAUAGGAGCUAUUUUAGAUAGAGGGAUCACUGAUCAUAAAAGGCCAUCUAGGUUGCUGGCAAGAUGGCCGAAUAGGAACAGCUCCGGUCUGCAGCUCCCAGAGAGAUCAACUCAGAAGGUUUCUAAAUUAUGGUUAGUGACUGAAGCAAAAAUUAAACUGUCUGAUAUGGUUCUACAUAUACAAGUAUAAAGAGGAAAUAUUUAAGACAGUUAUACUAUAAAUGAGGAAGACAAGAAGAUAUAAAUAAAGGUAAGUUCUCUAUAUUUUACUCAAACUGGUAAAAUGACAGCAAUCAACUGAGACACCAGUCAAGGUUAUAUAUAAUGUAAUACCUAGAGCAAUCACUAACAUACAAAGAGAUACACUCAAAAAAAUUAUAAAUAAAUCAAAAUGGAGUUCUAAAAUUCUAGGAAAUGUUCAAGUAAAUCACAGGAAGGUAGGAAAAAAAACUAAAUGGAAAAUGUAGAGAAUAAACAAAGACAAAAAGUAAAAGUGACAGACUUAAACCCUAAAACAUCAAUAAUUAUACUAAAUGCAAAUGCUCUAAAUAUACCAAUUAAAAGACAGCGAUUCUAAAUGUGUACCCACCAAAAAAAAGCAAAACAGUAAAUUAUGUGAAGCAAAUACUUAUGGAAUAAUUAUAGUUGGAAACCUCCAUGUUCUCUCAAUGGUUGAUAAAUUAAAUAGACAGAAAAUCAGACAGAAUAUAAAACUCAACAACAC
rnacentral:lncRNA from 1 species